GGUGUUGUGGCUGAGUGGUUAAAGCGUUAGUCUAGAAAACUAAUGGGAUCGUCCCGCACAGGUUCGAAUCCUGUCAACAUCG
rfam:Enterospora canceri strain GB1 scaffold_87, whole genome shotgun sequence.